rnacentral:rRNA from 1 species
UACGAAGGGGGCUAGCGUUGCUCGGAAUCACUGGGCGUAAAGCGCACGUAGGCGGCUUAGCAAGUCGGAUGUGAAAUCCCUCGGCUCAACCAAGGAAGUGCAUCCGAAACUGCUGAGCUUGAGUACGAAAGAGGAUCGCGGAAUUCCCGGUGUAGAGGUGAAAUGCGCAGAUAUCAGGAAGAACACCUAUGGCGAAGGCAGCUCUCUGGGACGGUACUGACGCUGAGACGCGAAAGCGUGGGGAGCGAACAGG